rnacentral:rRNA from 1 species
AGCAGCCGCGGUAAUUCCAGCUCCAAUAGCGUAUAUUAAAGUUGUUGCAGUUAAAAAGCUCGUAGUUGAAUUUCGGGAUUGACGUAAUGGUCAUGCCUUAAGGGGUAUGAACUGUUACAGUUGAUUUCUCACCUUCUGGAGAAACUUGAUGUCCUUUAUUGGGUGUCUUGCGGAUCCAGGACCUUUACCUUGAAAAAAUUAGAGUGUUUAAAGCAGGCAUUUUUGCUCGAAUACAUUAGCAUGGAAUAAUAGAAUAGGACGGCAUGGUUCUAUUUUGUUGGUUUCUAGGAUCACCGUAAUGAUUAAUAGGGAUAGUUGGGGGCAUUAGUAUUCAAUUGUCAGAGGUGAAAUUCUUGGAUUUAUUGAAGACUAACUACUGCGAAAGCAUUUGCCAAGGAUGUUUUCAUUAAUCAAGAACGAAAGUUAGGGGAUCGAAGACGAUCAGAUACCGUCGUAGUCUUAACCAUAAACUAUGCCGACUAGGGAUCGGGACGAAGUUAAUUUUAUAAUUGACGCGUUC